AUAUAAAGAACACAAGGAGGAAGCACCUGCUCUUUGCCUGCUUGUCCUCACUCUCACUGGCAAGUUCAUUUCUUCACUGGCACUGCAGCCUGCCUCUUUGGGGUUCCAACAGAUACUGUAAGACCAGCUGAGACAUCCAGCCUCGUGGACUGAAUAACUACUGGACUCUUGGACUUUCUAUCAAGAGAGAAUAGUUGGACUACAGCAUGUCUGAUCUCUUCUCCUUGUCCUGUCCCCUGCCUCCGGAUAAGGACAUGAGGAAUGCAGUUUGCUGUGAGUCCAGAGGAUGUCUCUUCAGCAUUCAGACUUGUGAGCUUAGAAAGCUGCCAUUGUGAAGAACCAAGGAGCCUCCCCAGCCACAGCACUGAGAAGGUACCCCAGACUGGAGCACAAGACC
rnacentral:lncRNA from 1 species